GUGUCACUUCAGAAAGUUUAGGGAAGCCUCCUUCGAGGGACGCCGUCGUCUUUGUUGUGUUUUCUCCUUUGGGGUCACCUCUAGCUGCUGUGCCUUUCAGCCCAGCGCUCUCAGCCCCUGUAGACCGCCAUCUGUCCUAGUGCGGGGUGAUCAGCCAAGGUGUACGUGCCCCUGGUGUAAAGCGUGGCAUAGAAGGGCGUUUCCGAAGGAGAGUUCUGACCUGCCAGGAGACAGGGAAAGUACCACUUGAAAAACCACUUCCCUUGUUCGGAAGGGGGAUGGUGAAAUGGGCGGCCUUCCAGUGAAGGAAAGACCAUGAGUUUCCAGUUGGUUCUCAUCCUUGGUUGCCUUUCUGUCAGUGUGUGUGUGCACACGCAUAAAGGAUGGUAUUCCUGUUUUGAAGUUUUAGAUAGUCUUUUUUUCUGUCUGUUAAAAUGUACACUAGCCUUAGUACCAACUGCUUGUUUAAAUUCUGUUUAAGGUUAGAACUUGGGUGGAGAUAGAAAAUACCAGGUGUUGAGUUUACCUGAUCCAUAGUAUUUUGGAUGAAUCUGGUAAAUGCAAAAAACAAAACACAAGGUCAUUAAUACAAAUGAGUUUGAGUGCAUUUUUUCACACUACACAUGAAACUGUCAGUUUUCUCUUCUGAGAGAAUCAGUGGGUUGUUGCAGUACUAAAAUGAUCAAAUCUCAUAGCUGAACACAUGGGAAAAAUAACUUUUUAUUAUUUAGCAGAAAACUUAUAGCCCAGCUUUGAUUAAAGAUGACUUCCUUGUUCACUCAAGAAGUUCACCUUUCUAAAAGACAUGAAGAAAUAGUAUCACAAAGAUUAAUGUUACUUCAGAAAAUGAAGAAUAAUUUGGGAGAUCAAAACACAGAAAGAGCAUGUCUUCUCCAAGCCACUGAAACUGCUUCAAAAAGGAACCUCAGUCUCUUGCAGGACAUAGAAGCUGCAGAGAAGUCUUUACAGGCCAGGCUUAAGCCACGCCCACAACCUGCAGUGCGUUCUCUUGAGACUCGUUACUGGGCAUCAGUAGAAGAACAUGUCCCUAAAUGGGAACAGUUCCUUUUAGGCAGAGCACCAUAUCCGAUUGGUGGCGAAAAUCAAAGUGAGGCAGGAAACACCGUUCAAAAUGAGAUGAAGUGAUAACUUAUUCAUACAUUACUCAGAAAACAAAAACAAAAUCCAAAAACAGCUGUUUGAUGAAACUCUGUAAGUCAUGGCAGGAACUUGAGGGAGUAAUGUGCUUUGUUGGUCUCAUUAUUGUCAGUCUGAGAGCCACUGACAGGUCUCAGGUUAGACUACUGCAAGGUCAGUCUGAGAGCCACUGACAGGUCUCAGGUUAGACUACUGCAAGGUCAGUCUGAGAGCCACUGACAGGUCUCAGGUUAGACUACUGCAAGGUUGUAGAUUUGCAAUGGGAGGGUUAAAAGCUAAUGCUAAGACAGAAUGUUUGUUAAGGAUGGUAUUAAAGCAGUGCUGUGUGUGUUAAACAUUCAGCCUCGUUACACCCUGUCUAGUCUUCCAUUAUUCACCAUGAGAACAGGAACAGGGGCUGCUUAGAGUGAUAGAAGUCUGCCUUGCUUAGCUGCCCUUGUCUAACACUAGUUAUCAGAAAGCGGAUCCACAGGACUGGGUGCCUCAGACAGGUUUCGCUGAGAUUCUGACUAAAGGACUCAGUUUCAGGAAGGCUCGGUAUGAUUUUGAAAAAGACCCAUGAGAGCUGGAAGUAGCUACUGCAUUCUGACCGACUUGAAGACUCCCAACCUUGUGAAAACAGCCUCGCCCCUGGGGUUAUCUUCCCACUUGCCCUCCCCUCCCCUCUCUAAAACUUAAAAAUAAAGAAAUACACUCAGGAA